rnacentral:rRNA from 1 species
CAGCAGUCGCCGCGGGAAUGCGUAGGUGGCAAGCGUUGUCCGGAAUUAUUGGGCGUAAAGGGCUCGCAGGCGGUUUCUUAAGUCUGAUGUGAAAGCCCCCGGCUCAACCGGGGAGGGUCAUUGGAAACUGGGAAACUUGAGUGCAGAAGAGGAGAGUGGAAUUCCACGUGUAGCGGUGAAAUGCGUAGAGAUGUGGAGGAACACCAGUGGCGAAGGCGACUCUCUGGUCUGUAACUGACGCUGAGGAGCGAAAGCGUGGGGAGCGAACAGGAUUAGAUACCCCCGUAGUCCCUGUCUCUUAUAC